AGAAAGAAAAAGAUGGAGAAGAGAGGAAGAGAUGGGGUUUGGAGCGUUUUUGGCAAAAUCGAGCUACGGAGCUCAUUUCUCGACCAAAUUGAACGAUUUUGGUGGCUAUGGAUUCAGGACGCAAUCCUCUAUUCAUGGUUCGGCAAGGCAAUCGAACACACAUGUCCUGCCCCUAGUAGGCAAAGGAAUGUAGACCUUAGGAGCUUCGUGGGCAGUCCUCACAUGACGAGAAUGGAAGCAUUCGUCGUUGGUUAAGCUCGACGAGCAACGGGUCGAGGUAAGGAUAUAGUUCGACGUUUUCAAAAUAAGUAUUGAUUGAAGUUUUGUAUGGUUAAUAUUCAAGGAAUUUGGCCCUUGGCUAGUACAAUGGUUUAUGAUAUAAAUACUAAGGUAUUAGGUUCCGAUAAGUUAUAAUUUACGAGAUAAGUUACGCAAACUAGUAGGACGUUUUGCAGAAAACUAUUCUGCAAAACAGCUCCGUUGCAAAGUCCGUAUCUCGAGCUAUAUAACUCCAAAUUAAGUUCCGGUUGUUGGUACGAAAACAAAAGGAUGUUAUCUAAAUAUGUCUAUGUAUAUAUUUAUGAAAAUUAGGAACCUAAGAUGUUCAUUUGGGACUGAACAUUUUAUUGUGCAGUCUGCCCUGUACUUGUAAUAAGCUUUAAGGAAAUAACUUCCGAGCUAAUUUCUGACACCUUCGGAUGCUAAUCUCAGUCCGAGACCUGAACAAAUGUUUUAGGAGACAUCCUAAAAUUUAAUAAUGUUAAGUUUGUUUAGAGGUCGGACUGUUGUAAAUGAGCGGUUUCGAUAACCGAAGUUGGCUAAAAAUUAUAUUUUUGAUAUAUAGCUAUAGUUAGAAUGUUAAUAAUUUAGGUUACUAUCGAAUUUCUGAAGACUCGCCGAUGCGACUACUAACGGAAAACGAAACGUGAUGAAAGAUAUUUCUUUGUUAGUUCUAGAAGAUUUUGGAUAGCAAGUGUGUUUCAUUUCAGGGUCAUAGUAAAGGAUGUGACGGACUUCUAUCCUUGUUCCAGAAGUUCGGAGUUUGUACAUAAUCAUAAGUGCUGCAGUAGUCGAGUCCUAGUAAGCGUGUAAUGGUUUGUCAAACGGUUUUGAAUAUAUAAACUAUACUCUGAUAUGUAUGAUAGAUUUUGAAACUGCGCUAUUAAACCGUUUGUUAAAGGUGGAACGGGCUGUGCUGGAUGUGAGACAUCGCACUAUAAGACCCAGGUUCCUAUGUAAUAUCUUCAGGUUUUGAACUAGACAUUUGUAUACGUAAAGAAUGGAAAGGCUUUCAUGAAAAUGUUUUUGUA